rnacentral:misc_RNA from 1 species
AUAUGAUUUAUUCGAAGCUGCCACAGGUAUGAGAAUGAUGCAAAAUUAUUUUCAUAUCUAGGGAGUAGCAGGCUAGCAGUUGAUCUACCUCAUGGCUGGAUAAACAAAUGUUUGGACUUUUGCAAUUAUUUUUUAACAGGAAUUACUAAAUACUAAAAACAUAUUAUGAAAUCAUAUUUUUUUAGAAUGAGUUGAAGGAGUAGCGAUAUUAUAAUAACUAAAAUAGUAAUAAGGGCCGAGUAAUGGGUAACCCUGAUACCCGGAUACUCUCGAAGAAGAAACUUACUCGCCCAACUAUACCAGCGAUACUUGGAUCACUUUCAAGGAUAAGGAUCUCGAGAUAUCCGCCAUAAUCAUAAUCACAUACGUUUAAGGAAUCAACCAGCAAAGCAGACUCCUAAUUCCACUCAACUACAGAACUCCUAAUCCUAAUAGGAGACUAUCUCAAAGGCCUAUAUAAGGGUUAUCAGGUAUGCAUAAUAUUUAGUUUUCCAUUCAUCUUAUUGUUACUGACUUAGGCAUCGGAGCAGAAAGUCAUCUAGCCCACCCGGUGCUCUUCUUUCUUGCAAAUCCUAUCCAACAUCCAUUACCCGCCAAAGAGGAGAACAACAUCAAGUAGGUACUGAUGGUACAGAGGAAGCAAUAAAUAGGGGUUUAUUGGGACCAAAGCUACGAGACCAAAAGAGCCAUCAGAUCUACAACUAUAGGAGAAACAAAAAAUGGGGCCUAUUACUUUAGAUCUAGCAGGCAAAAUUAACUCCUAAAGAUUAACAUCAGAACUUCAGAAUAAAAAAGAGGGGAAGAUAUGUACAAAUUAAAAAUUAGGGCCAAUCUAUACAAAUUAAAAAUUUUUUAGGAACCUGUCAAGAGGCUAGAAUUUUGAAAGACAAUUUGUGUUUAUCAAAAAAGAUCAUUUUUUCAGCAAGAGCAGCUCGAAUGUAAACACCCAUGUCCCAACAACUAAUAGUGCAUGGCUUGGACUAUAAAAUACAUGCUAACACCAUACCUGUUCCCGCCUAUCAACAUAAGCCUACAGAAGUUCUCCAACAUAAUCUAUGAAUCUCUGGAAGGAAAUCAUUGAUUGAGCAACAUUCAGAUGGCAACAUUGUUGUUAUUGCCAUUUCAAGGGUAAAGAGGAAGAAAGAUACAAUUUGUAGCCAUGAGAUACUGAUUGUAAAAAGGCUUCUGCCAUUGUGAUUGAAAUUUCUGUUCUUUUACAUUCAACAUUUUCACAAUUAAAUAGUUCCUAACUCUAUCAAGAACCUUUAUCAUCAACAGUGAAAGAUAAGCACAAAACUUGAAUAUUCAAUAUUCAAUGAAGUGUCAGCAGAGAGAUCAAACAUUAAAACAAGCUAAAUUCAUGUUUUUUAGUUAACAUAGUUUAUAAGAACACUACAUGAAGGGCAAGAUAAUUCUGGCAAUUUACUGAUCUAAAAUAAAAUUGCCAUCAAAAUCAACCUCAUAUAUGUAGUCACAGAAGACCAUGAAGUCUUGAACACUAAACAGCAAUUGUUGUCAUAUAAAGCAUAGACUGGCAGCAUAAAUACACCUCUUGCACUGUAACAUCUAUUGGAAAAAUUACUUCAGAAUACCUGCAAAAGAUGUCUCGUAUUUUAUACCUAUCCUUGCCCCUUCUAAG